rnacentral:rRNA from 1 species
UAGCGGCAGGCUUAACACAUGCAAGUCGAGGGGCAUCGGGAGGGAAGCUUGCUUUCCUUGCCGGCGACCGGCGCACGGGUGAGUAACACGUAUGCAACCUGCCCUCUUCAGGGGGACAACCUUCCGAAAGGGAGGCUAAUCCCGCGUAUAUCGGUUUCGGGCAUCCGUUAUCGAGGAAAGAUUCAUCGGAAGAGGAUGGGCAUGCGGCGCAUUAGCUUGACGGCGGGGUAACGGCCCACCGUGGCGACGAUGCGUAGGGGUUCUGAGAGGAAGGUCCCCCACACUGGUACUGAGACACGGACCAGACUCCUACGGGAGGCAGCAGUGAGGAAUAUUGGUCAAUGGGAGAGAUCCUGAACCAGCCAAGCCGCGUGAGGGAAGACGGCCCUAUGGGUUGUAAACCUCUUUUGUCGGAGAACAAAACCCGGGACGAGUCCCGGACUGCGUGUAUCCGAAGAAAAAGCAUCGGCUAACUCCGUGCCAGCAGCCGCGGUAAUACGGAGGAUGCGAGCGUUAUCCGGAUUUAUUGGGUUUAAAGGGUGCGUAGGCGGUCCGUUAAGUCAGCGGUAAAAUUGCGGGGCUCAACCCCGUCGAGCCGUUGAACCUGGCAGACUUGAGUUGGCGAGAAGUACGCGGAAUGCGCGGUGUAGCGGUGAAAUGCAUAGAUAUCGCGCAGAACUCCGAUUGCGAAGGCAGCGUACCGGCGCCAGACUGACGCUGAGGCACGAAAGCGUGGGGAUCGAACAGGAUUAGAUACCCUGGUAGUCCACGCAGUAAACGAU